GAUGAACGCUAGCGGCGUGCUUAACACAUGCAAGUCGAACGAAGCACCUCUCCCGAAGAUUGACACAGCUUGCUGUAGAUUGAUUCAUUUGAGGUGACUGAGUGGCGGACGGGUGAGUAACGCGUGGGUAACCUGCCUCAUAGAGGGGGACAACAGUUGGAAACGACUGCUAAUACCGCAUAGUAAGAAGAAUUCGCAUGUUUUCUUCUUGAAAGAUUUAUCGCUAUGAGAUGGACCCGCGUCUGAUUAGCUAGUUGGUAAGGUAACGGCUUACCAAGGCGACGAUCAGUAGCCGGCUUGAGAGAGUGAACGGCCACAUUGGGACUGAGACACGGCCCAAACUCCUACGGGAGGCAGCAGUGGGGAAUAUUGCACAAUGGGGGAAACCCUGAUGCAGCGACGCCGCGUGAGUGAAGAAGUAUUUCGGUAUGUAAAGCUCUAUCAGCAGGGAAGAUAAUGACGGUACCUGACUAAGAAGCCCCGGCUAACUACGUG
rnacentral:rRNA from 1 species